UACGUAGGGUGCGAGCGUUAAUCGGAAUACUGGGCGAAAGCGUGCGCAGGCGGUUCGUUGUGUCCGUCGUGAAAGCCCCGGGCUAACCUGGGAACUGCGAUGGAAACUAGCGAGCUGGAGUGUGGCAGGAGGGGGGUGGAAUUCCGCGUGUAGCAGUGAAAUGCGUAGAGAUGCGGAGGAACACCGAUGGCGAAGGCAGCCCCCUGGGCCAACACUGACGCUCAGGCACGAAAGCGUGGGGAGCAAACAGG
rnacentral:rRNA from 1 species